rnacentral:rRNA from 1 species
UACGUAGGGCCCGAGCGUUAUUCGGUAUUAUUGGGCGUAAAGAGCGCGUAGGCCGUUUUGUAAGACAGUGGUUAAAUACCCGAGCUUAACUCGGGAGCUGCCACUGUGACUGCAAGACUAGACGAUAGCAGGGGCAAGCAGAAUUCUCGGUGUAGGAGUGAAAUCCGUUGAGAUCGAGAGGAAUACCAAUGGCGAAGGCAGCUUGCUAGGCUAUAUGUGACGCUGAGGCGCGAAAGCGUGGGGAGCGAACGGG